AAACACUGUACGAUCACUAAAGUUAAGCAAUGUUGAGCCUGUUCAGUACCUAGAUGGGUGACCAUUUGGGAAUAUGAGGUGCUGUAAG